rnacentral:rRNA from 1 species
UACGGAGGGUGCAAGCGUUAUCCGGAUUUACUGGGUUUAAAGGGUGCGUAGGUGGGUAGGUAAGUCAGUGGUGAAAUCUUCGAGCUUAACUCGGAAACUGCCAUUGAUACUAUCUGUCUUGAAUACUUUGGAGGUAAGCGGAAUAUGUCAUGUAGCGGUGAAAUGCUUAGAUAUGACAUAGAACACCAAUUGCGAAAGGCAGCUUACUACACAGUCAUUGACACUGAGGCACGAAAGCGUGGGGGAUCAAACAGG